UAGGGAAUAUUGGACAAUGGGCGAAAGCCUGAUCCAGCAACGCCGCGUGCGCGAUGACGGCCUUCGGGUUGUAAAGCGCUUUUAGAGGAGAUGAGAAAGGACAGUAUCCUCUGAAUAAGCCUCGGCGAACUACGUGCCAGCAGCCGCGGUAAAACGUAGGAGGCUAGCGUUAUUCGGAUUUAUUGGGCGUAAAGCGCGUGCAGGCGGUCUAGCAAGUUGGAUGUGAAAGCUCCUGGCUCAACUGGGAGAGGUCGUUCAAUACUGUUAGACUAGAGAAUGGGAGAGGGAGGUGGAAUUCCGGGUGUAGUGGUGAAAUGCGUAGAUAUCCGGAGGAACACCAGUGGCGAAAGCGGCCUCCUGGACCAUUUCUGACGCUAAGACGCGAAAGCUAGGGUAGCAAACGG
rnacentral:rRNA from 1 species